UAAGAAUCAAGUUUGAGGGAUUGGAUAAUCUACCUUCUCCAGAUACCCCUGCUGUAUAUGUUUCAAACCACCAGAGUUUUCUAGACAUAUAUACACUUCUCACUCUUGGAAGAACCUUUAGGUUUAUAAGCAAGACUGGAAUAUUUCUAUUUCCUAUCAUUGGAUGGGCCAUGUUUAUGAUGGGUGUCAUUCCUUUGAAGCGGAUGGACAACAGAAGCCAGUUGGAAUGUCUAAAACGGUGCAUGGAACUAG
rnacentral:misc_RNA from 1 species